AACCCCAAAUAGAAGAGGUCUGUCCAGAGGUAUUCCGCCAUGUAACAUGAAAAAUAGAGACAUUUAUUAAAGAAGAUACAUGUACAAGAAACAUUGUACACAGGACAAUGAUGCCUCAGUCCCCUUCAAAGUAGGCACCUUGGGAUCUCACACAGUUCUCCCAAUC